rnacentral:rRNA from 1 species
CCUACGGGUGGCAGCAGUGAGGAAUCUUGGUCAAUGGGCGCGAGCCUGAACCAGCCACGUCGCGUGAAUGAUGACUGCCCUCCGGGUUGUAAACUUCUUUUAUAAAGGAAUAAAGUGUGGCACGUGUGCCUUUUUGUAUCUACUUUAUGAAUAAGGAUCGGCUCACUCCGUUCCAGCAGCCGCGGUAAUACGGAGGAUCCGUGCGUUAUCCGGAUUUAUUGGGUUUAAAGGGAGCGCAGAUGGGUUGUCAAGUCAGUUGUGAAAGUUUGCGGCUCAACCGUAAAAGUGCAAUUGAUACUGGCAGUCUUGAGUACAGUUGAGGGAGGCGGAAUUCGAUGUGUAGCGGUGAAAUGCGUAGAGAUCACGAAGAACACCGAUUGCGAAGGCAGCUUACUAAACUGCCACUGACAUUGAUGCUCGAAAGUGUGGGUAGCAAACAGGAUUAGAUACCCUAGUAGUC